rnacentral:rRNA from 1 species
UACGUAGGGGGCUAGCGUUGUCCGGAAUCAUUGGGCGUAAAGAGCGUGUAGGCGGUCCGGUAAGUCCGCUGUGAAAGUCGGGGGCUCAACCCUCGAAUGCCGGUGGAUACUGUCGGGCUAGAGUGCGGAAGAGGCGAGUGGAAUUCCUGGUGUAGCGGUGAAAUGCGCAGAUAUCAGGAGGAACACCUAUUGCGAAGGCAGCUCGCUGGGACGUAACUGACGCUGAGACGCGGAAAGCGUGGGGAGCAAACAGG